rnacentral:tRNA from 1 species
GGCCCCUUAGCUCAGUGGUUAGAGCAGGCGACUCAUAAUCGCUUGGACGCUGGUUCAAGUCCAGCAGGGGCCACCA